CGUGUAACAACAUGGUUGCGUUCUUGUAGCAUGCAGGUGUUUACAUCUGCAUCUGCAUACGCGACAGACCAGACCAUACACCACUACUACUUUGUAGAAGUGUUGUCAAAGUACAUUGGUAUUAUACUAACGUGCUGGAAUGGCGUUUCACCGAACCUCGAUAUAAUUUCUAUCGAUACCUUCGGAUGUGCGCUCAAGUAGUUUGCUGUAAAGGUGAUACGAAAGCGUUUUACGCUCGACGUUGCCGUGAAUUGUAGCGAGCAGUAUGUGUAACUUGAAUGAACGUAUUCGUCGAGUUGACUAAAGUUGUUUUCAAAUGACAGAACA
rnacentral:misc_RNA from 1 species